AAUUAUUGGGCGUAAAGAGCUUGUAGGUGGCUUGUCGCGUCUGCCGUGAAAACCCGAGGCUCAACCUCGGGCGUGCGGUGGGUACGGGCAGGCUAGAGUGUGGUAGGGGAGACUGGAACUCCUGGUGUAGCGGUGAAAUGCGCAGAUAUCAGGAAGAACACCGAUGGCGAAGGCAGGUCUCUGGGCCAUUACUGACACUGAGAAGCGAAAGCAUGGGUAGCGAACAGGAUUAGAUACCCUGGUAGUCCAUGCCGUAAACGUUGGGCACUAGGUGUGGGGGACAUUCCACGUUUUCCGCGCCGUAGCUAACGCAUUAAGUGCCCCGCCUGGGGAGUACGGCCGCAAGGCUAAAACUCAAAGGAAUUGACGGGGGCCCGCACAAGCGGCGGAGCAUGCUGAUUAAUUCGAUGCAACGCGAAGAACCUUACCAAGGCUUGACAUGCACUGGACGGCUGCAGAGAUGUGGCUUUCUUUGGACUGGUGCACAGGUGGUGCAUGGUUGUCGUCAGCUCGUGUCGUGAGAUGUUGGGGUUAAGUCCCGCAACGAGCGCAACCCUCGUUCUAUGUUGCCAGCACGUAAUGGUGGGGACUCAUAGGAGACUGCCGGGGUCAACUCGGAGGAAGGUGGGGACGACGUCAAAUCAUCAUGCCCCUUAUGUCUUGGGCUUCAAGCAUGCUACAAUGGUCGGUACAAUGGGUUGCGAAACUGUGAGGUGGAGCGAAUCCCAAAAAGCCGGCCUCAGUUCGGAUUGGGGUCUGCAACUCGACCCCAUGAAGUCGGAGUCGCUAGUAAUCGCAG
rnacentral:rRNA from 1 species